GUCACCGGAAUCUUGUCGACGCCGGUAACUCCCACCCUUCUUCUUCGUCCUUUCCUCCUCCUUCAUUGCGGUAUUGCUUUUCUUUCCUUUUAAUCGUUGUUGUUUGCCCAGCCACACAACCACCGCGAGUUUCCUCGCCGCCAGCAACCGCCGCGAACCUCACCGUCGCUGGACCGCCGACCUUGCACGCCACACACAACCGCCUGUGCACCGCCGUGCCUCAACUCGCCGCCGAUCUGCUGCCGCGCCUGUGCUCCGGCCAGCCUCUUCCCUUCUCCUUCUUGGCGGAGAAUUCUCUCUAGGCGACUUUUGAAAGUGUUAAAGUGGCCUAUCAGUUUGUUUACACAAGUCUCUAAGGAUCAAUAAGCAUUGUCCAUCUGCAGGUUUGAAGAUGUUGCAUCAUUGGGAUCGGGAAUAGAGAGCUUGUAUUUAGUUUUGUUUUGAUAAGUUGACUUGGGUUUGUUUAAUCGGACUUUAAACUUGUCGUACUAUUUA